GGAUGUACGACCCGAAGCCAGGCGAGCUUUCCAUUUCCAGGUUGAAAGAACCACUUUGGUUUCUGGAGGACCGAACCGGUGAAUGUUGCAAAAUUCUCGGAUGAGGAAUGGAAAGGAGUGAAAGGCUAAUCAAGCCUGGGGAUAGCUGGUUCUCCGCGAAAUCUAUGUAGGUAGACUGUCCAUGUUUCUUCUCGGAGGUAGAGCACUUGUUGGAUGCCGGGAGCCCAAAACUUUACGAAGUCCAGUGAAACUCCGAAGGCCGACGAAGAAUACAUGGGUGGACAGACUUUGGGUGCGAAGAUCCAAGGUCGAGAGGGGAAGAGCCCAGACCGUCCGCUAAGGUCCCAAAGUGUGGUCUGAGUGAACAAGGAAGUCUUUGUGCAUUGACACUCAGGAGAUGGGCUUGGAAGCAGCCGUUCUAUGAUGAUCGCGUACCAGCGCACUGAGGGAGCACAAAGGCGCCGAAAAUACUCGGGACUGAAGACCACCACCGAAACGACGGAAGAU
rnacentral:rRNA from 1 species